rnacentral:rRNA from 1 species
AUUGAACGCUGGCGGCAGGCCUAACACAUGCAAGUCGAGCGGAUGAAGGGAGCUUGCUCCUGGAUUCAGCGGCGGACGGGUGAGUAAUGCCUAGGAAUCUGCCUGGUAGUGGGGGAUAACGUCCGGAAACGGGCGCUAAUACCGCAUACGUCCUGAGGGAGAAAGUGGGGGAUCUUCGGACCUCACGCUAUCAGAUGAGCCUAGGUCGGAUUAGCUAGUUGGUGGGGUAAAGGCCUACCAAGGCGACGAUCCGUAACUGGUCUGAGGGGAUGAUCAGUCACACUGAAACUGAGACACGGUCCAGAGUCCUACGGGAGGCAGAAGUGGGUAAUGUUGGACAAUGGGCGAAAGCCUGAUCCAGCCAUGCCGGGUGUGUGAAGAAGGUCUUCGGGUGGUAAAGCACUUUAAGUUGGGAGGAAGGGCAGUGAGUUAAUACCUGGCUGUUUUGACGUUACCAACAGAGUAAGCACCGGCUAACUUCGU